GAUGAACGCUGGCGGCGUGCUUAACACAUGCAAGUCGAACGAAGCACUUUGAUCGAUUUCUUCGGAUUGAAAUUUUAGUGACUGAGUGGCGGACGGGUGAGUAACGCGUGGGUAACCUGCCUCACACAGGGGGAUAACAGUUGGAAACGGCUGCUAAUACCGCAUAAGCGCACAGUACCGCAUGGUACGGUGUGAGAAACUCCGGUGGUGUGAGAUGGACCCGCGUCUGAUUAGCUAGUGGGCAGGGCAACGGCCUACCAAGGCGACGAUCAGUAGCCGACCUGGGAGGGUGAGCGGCCACAUUGGGACUGAGACACGGCCCAAACUCCGACGGGAGGCAGCAGUGGGGAAUAUUGCACAAUGGGGGAAACCCUGAUGCAGCGACGCCGCGUGAGCGAAGAAGUAUUUCGGUAUGUAAAGCUCUAUCAGCAGGGAAGAAGAAAUGACGGUACCUGACUAAGAAGCACCGGCUAAAUACGUGCCAGCCGCCGCCGUAA
rnacentral:rRNA from 1 species